CCUACGGGGGGCAGCAGUGGGGAAUAUUGCACAAUGGGGGGAACCCUGAUGCAGCGACGCCGCGUGAGCGAAGAAGUAUUUCGGUAUGUAAAGCUCUAUCAGCAGGGAAGAAAAUGACGGUACCUGACUAAGAAGCCCCGGCUAACUACGUGCCAGCAGCCGCGGUAAUACGUAGGGGGCAAGCGUUAUCCGGAUUUACUGGGUGUAAAGGGAGCGCAGGCGGCGCGGUAAGUCUGAUGUGAAAGCCCGGGGCUCAACCCCGGGACUGCAUUGGAAACUGUCGUGCUGGAGUGUCGGAGGGGCAA
rnacentral:rRNA from 1 species